rnacentral:lncRNA from 1 species
CCACUCUCUUUGCCUUUUCACAGAGCCAUCCAACCCACCAAAGAGCAUUAGUGCAUAUGUUAUGGUUCAGACUCUGUUUUCCAGGGCACUCAAGCUAAGAGAGUGGGGAAAUAAGAGAAUAUGAGAAAGACAUUCCAUUAUGGAAUAUCUACUUGUUCCAUUUUUAUACAAAAAUUUUAAAAUCUGCUCUAGAUAUUUUAAAUGAAAAAAUAAAAAUAAUUUAACAUGUUGAAAAUUUAACCCGACUUUGCAGAGCUGGGAGAAAUAUUGUCAGAAACUAUUGGUCUUGCUGAAAGAAAAGUUAUAAUACGUGGAUUCUCCAUUCCAGAUCAGCUGCCAAACCAGGGCAGGCAGAGAAUUCCAUAUGCAGGUGCAAUGCCACUGUGAAAGCUGGAAUUUCAGAGCUCUUAUCUGGAAUAUGACCUAGAAAGUUUGUGGGAGAAUGAUGAUCUAAACACUUGAGGCAACCUGCAGUCUGCCUGCAUUUGUAAAUACCAAUGUGACUUUAAAUGGAAGAAGCUAAGAAUGUUUUCGCCUCAGUGCUCUGUCCUGUGUCACAGCUUUGUGAUUUGUUUAAACAGGUUUCUUCAGCACAGUGGAGUGAGAUUAAGCAUGUAACACCUCAUCCAAGUUACAGACUGUGCAUUAGUAGAAGAAAAGAUCAUUUGGAACCAAGAAAGGAAAUACUGAAGCUGGAAGAAAGAUCUUCCCAUUUUUAAAGCAAUGUUUUCAAAGAACCCCAAGACCUGGUACUGUGGGUUGAAUUGUGUUCCCCAAUAAAAUAUAUUGGAGCCCUACCUCA